rnacentral:rRNA from 1 species
AGUGAACGCUGGCGGUAGGCCUAACACAUGCAAGUCGAACGGCAGCACAGUAAGAGCUUGCUCUUACGGGUGGCGAGUGGCGGACGGGUGAGGAAUACAUCGGAAUCUACUUUUUCGUGGGGGAUAACGUAGGGAAACUUACGCUAAUACCGCAUACGACCUACGGGUGAAAGCAGGGGAUCUUCGGACCUUGCGCGAUUGAAUGAGCCGAUGUCGGAUUAGCUAGUUGGCGGGGUAAAGGCCCACCAAGGCGACGAUCCGUAGCUGGUCUGAGAGGAUGGUGAGAGACAGUGGAAAUGAGAGACGGUGGGCACACCUACGGGAGGCAGCAGUGGGUAGGAUGGGACAAGGGGCGCAAGCGUGAUCCAGUAAUACUGCGUGAGAGAAGAAGGCAUUCGGGUUGUAAAGGCCUUUUGUUGAGAAAGAAAAGAAGCAGGGUAAUACUUCGCGGUUGUGGCGGUGCCAAAAGAAUAAGAACCGGCUAACUUCGUC